UCUCUCUCUCUCUCUCUCUCUCUCUCUCAAUCUCAAUCUCAAUGCCGAUUUAGGAAUUUGGGGAUUUAGUAAUUUAUGGAUUUUUUAUUUGAUGUGGACCCUCAUUGAGGGAUUUGGGGAUUUUAGGGCUUACAGAUUUGAAUGUGGACCCCGAAUUGGGGUUUUUCUGAUUUUACGAAUUACGGAUUUGGAGAUUUUAGGAUUUUGGGGAUCUGAGGAUUUUUGGAAUUGGGGAUUUCACCUUCUAUUUUUUAUUUAUUUAUUGGGGAUUUAGGGAUUUCUACUACUCCAAUGCCGUCGAAAAGAAAUGGUCCAUUUGGGGACAGAGCAUACAUAUGAUGUUUGGGGAUGGAGCAUACAUUUUCUUUCCCCAGAAUGAUGUUUUUUCAUGGUUUAUGGAGAGAUCUUGUCCAUCUUAUCUUAUUACGGUUUCUUUAGGUUUUUGAAGCUAUAGAUUCGGUUUGGAGAUUAGAUCUGAUUUUUUUCUGGUAUUUGGCGCAAUCUAAUAGGAUUCCUUGCCUGAUUUGAUGUAUUUGGUUGUAAAAUGAUGGAAGACGUGUUUUAGAAAAGAUUUGGCUGCAUCACAAGUUAGAAUACAGUGGUUGUAGGUGAUCAACUCUCAGAAGUAAAUAAGGUUAUAUAUAUGAUGCCCUGUUAUGCCUGAUUACUUCCUACACCUUACAAUGGUUGGUUUGGCUAUUCAUGAGUUUGCGGAUGGUGGUUAUGGUUAAACACAGGAAUUAUGAGAUCCCGAUUGUCUUAAGGCCACAUGAUGAGUGGACGAGCCUGAUUUUUAUGUUGAGCAUUCUUCGUGGUGGGGGCCAAACCUUUUGGACGAGUGGGAUGUUGUACACACUUGACACUUUGGAAUUUAUGCCCUAGGUGGACGGUAAAUUAUUUUCUAACUAGUCAUGUGUGAGGCUGCCUCUUUAAAUUAUUAUAUUUUAAAUAUUAAAGAUAUAUACUUUUGUCAUUGUAGAUUCUUUUCAUUGACUAAUAGUCAAGUACAAAAUGCAACUUAUAUAGUUUUCUUUUAUUUAUUUAUUUAUAUGCAUGUUGGUUUUAUGGAAGUCGAAAUCUUGAAAAUGUUGGUAUAGCUGUUGCAGGAAAAAACCUUGAAAAGUUAAUGAUUUUGAGGCUUCAUUGUUGUGUAGUCUAUGAUCAAAAUCUGAUCCAUUAACUAAUAGAAAUGUUGUUUUUUGUUUUUCUAUGCCGGCUCAUGCACUAGUUUAUUUGAUUUAGUUUUAAAUUUUGCAUCUCAUGUUCUAUAUUUUAAAGUUAGUAUUUACUUUAGCUUGCGGAAAUGGUCUAAUUUCAGGGUUUGCCACAUCUUGAUGUUAGAAUAAAGUGGCCGAAUGAUCUUUACUUAAAUGGCCUUAAAGUUAGCGGCAUCCUGUGCACCUCAAUAUAUAAAUCAAAUAAGUUCAAUGUGAGUGCUAGAACAAGAGCAUGUUUCUUCUGUUGAUAAUCUAUUUUUCUUUCUUAGUCAGCAUGGUUGCACAUGCCUAAGUUGGAUUGAUGUGUGGAGAUGUUUUCCUUGUGAUGGCCCAUUGCCUUUAACAUCAAGAUGUGGCCCAUUGUCUUUAAGAUUCUUGUUCAAUGACCUUUAAUAGGAGUAGUCAUGAUCUUUUACAGAAAAAUAGAUCAAAUCAACAAUUUGAUCAAUCUACUUGUUAGUACCCAUCAUGAACAGAGUUCCCUUUGUGUUUAAGCUAAAUGGUGGAAUAGUCGUGGCUGUUUGGUAGUUUAGAGUUUUUGUUGCUAAGCUCUUAGUUUAUUUAUUUAUUUAAUAUUUAAAUUCAUUUUCAUUUGUUGUUUGGGUGCAGUUAGUGUCUGCUGAUGUGCAGUUAGUGUCUGGCGUUACACUUCUACUCAACAGAUGAAGAGUGGGCUAGAUGAUGGCCUGUUGAGAUUGAUUGAAUAGAUCAUACACGUCCAAAUGAAACUCACAGGACAAUAUCUGCACAAUAUCUGAGGAUCAUUUUUUUAGACUAAUGGCAUGUUUGGACAGGUGGGCCCAAGUUUAUAAUCAGAUAGGGAUGGAGUGAGUGAAUCACAAUUCACACAGGUCCUAAACAUCGAGCUAGAUCAGAUUAUCGAGGCCUGUAAAUUCCUUGAUGAGAACUGGUCACAAAAGUUUAUAAUUAUUGUGGCUCAAAAAAACCACCAAACUAAAUUCUUCCAGCUUCAAUCUCCGGACAAUGUUCCGCAUGGCACUGUUGUGGACAAAGCAAUUUGCCAUCCGCGAAACCACGACUUCUACAUGUGUUCACACACAGGAAUGAUUGUAAGAUUUGAUAUGGAGCUGACCUUUUUGUUAAAUUGUGGGAAGUCACCAUCCAUCCUCCCUUGAUUGAUUGCAUCACCUAGUCUUUUUUAUUGUGCUCAUAUCCAUACACAAGCAGAAAGAAUUGGUACACAAUCAAUCAAGGUGGGUGUGGAUUGCUUGCUUUUGCAUCGUCUUUUCCUUUAAAUAAGGAACAACGCGCCCUACUCACUACCAUGUUUUGCGGGAUGAGAUUGGCUUCUCCCUUGAUGAUCUCCAAGAGCUUUUGCAUUCAUUGAUGUGUGUCAGAGGAGCACAACUGCGAUAGCAAUCGGUAAGUACCGUGUUUCUGUUAUGUGGUAAUUGCCUAUUUUAUGUUAUGAGGGGUUUUAAUUACUAUCUCCCUGUCAAAGGACUCUCUUGAGUUUUAGGGUUGCAUCUUGGGAUCAACCAAAACCUUACUUACCCAAACGUAACCUAGGGUUGAGUUGGGCUGGGUUGUUGGGUUCCUCGUUUGGGGUAGGGUUGGAAAACUCCAAAAUAAUUUGAAAUUUGGUUGAGGAUUGGCUUUAACAAAUUCAGGAUGGGUUAGGUCUGGUGGGGAAUAGUGUCUCACUGGUUAAGA